rnacentral:rRNA from 1 species
AACGAACGCUGGCGGCAUGCCUAACAUAUGCAAGUCGAACGAGACCUUCGGGUCUAGUGGCGCACGGGUGCGUAACGCGUGGGAACCUGCCUUUAGGUUCGGAAUAACUCAGAGAAAUUUGAGCUAAUACCGGAUGAUGUCUUCGGACCAAAGAUUUAUCGCCUUUAGAUGGGCCCGCGUUGGAUUAGCUAGUUGGUGGGGUAAAGGCCUACCAAGGCGACGAUCCAUAGCUGGUCUGAGAGGAUGAUCAGCCACACUGGGACUGAGACACGGCCCAGACUCCUACGGGAGGCAGCAGUGGGGAAUAUUGGACAAUGGGCGAAAGCCUGAUCCAGCAAUGCCGCGUGAGUGAUGAAGGCCUUAGGGUUGUAAAGCUCUUUUACCCGAGAUGAUAAUGACAGUAUCGGGAGAAUAAGCUCCGGCUAACUCCGU